UCCAGGUGGCCCAGACCUGCGGCGGGCGGGGCCUUGGCGCAGGUGCUCGGCUUCCUCCGCCCUCCCCCACCCCCUCACCCAAUCCUCGGGGUCCUACAGAUCGGGCCCCUGCCCUACAGCAUGAGCUCUGCCUCGAUUCCUGGCUAUCAGCCACUCUCAGAGACUAAGAAUUUACUUCAAGAGGACGGGAAAAGAAAAACUGGGGAAUGAAGAAGAAGAGUGGAGAGAGGAGCCGCUGAGUAACACCUGGGGACAAACAGAAGUAAACAGGAAGAUGGCUAUGUGGAAAGAUCUUCGAGGAAAAGCAAUCUUUCUUCUAGUUCUCUUAUUCCUUCCCAAGAAACUAGGCAC